GACGAACGCUGGCGGCGUGCCUAAUACAUGCAAGUUGAGCGCUGAAGGCUGGUACUUGUACCGACCGGAUGAGCAGCGAACGGGUGAGUAACGCGUGUAGAAUCUGCCUUUGAGCGGGGGACAACAUUUGGACACGAGUGCUAAUACCGCAUAAACUCUUUAAACACAAGUUUUAUGGGUGAAAGAUGCAAUUGCAUCACUCAAAGAUGAUCCCGCGUUGUGUUAGGUAGUUGGUGAGGUAAAGGCUCACCAAGGGGAUGAUAUAUAGCCGACCUGAGAGGGUGGGUAGCCGGAUUGAGAGUGAGACAGGGCCCAAACGGCUUCAGGAGGCAGCAGGAGGGAAUCUUCGGGAAGGGGCGGGAGACAGACCGAGAAAGGCGGCGGGAGUGAAGAAGGAUGUCGGGUCCGAAAACUCGGUUGGUAGAGAAGAACGUUGGUGAGAGUGGAAAGCUGAUCAAGUGACGGUAACUAGCCAGAAAGGAACGGCUAACUACGUG
rnacentral:rRNA from 1 species